CUCUCAUUAGCUCAGUCGGUAUAGCAUGAGACUCUUAAUGCCAGGGUCAUGGGUUCAAGCCCCACGUUGGAUGAAAGA